GUCGAGCAGUGCCCGCGGUGGUCGUUCAGAAGCCUAGCAGCAAACUGCUUGGCCGAGAGGGAGGGGCACCCAGCGGCCGUGCCCUUUGACUUGACCUCUGUUCUGCGGACUAGCGGACCGAGUAGCCAAGAAGAAAGCCGGGAACAGGGUAGUCGGCUGACCUGACAGAAAAACUGGCGGCUGUCACUAAUGGAAGUGCAGUGUAAUAGAAGUCAGAGACACAGUCACCACAACCCAGAGUCCGCGAGCCUGCUACUGUGGAGAUAGUACUAUCGCUCAACCAUGCUUUUGUUCAUCCCUGAAGGGACUUCCCGCUCUGGUGGCUCUCAACUCUUCCGAAGACAGCAUGCAUGUCUAAAAAUUUUAGCUAAUUAUGAUGCAUUCAUAAAAUUGAUAAUCUGCAACCCUCCACCCUCCCUCCACCAUUGCUCACCACACAUUUCCUUUUAAAAAUACAAAAAUGUUAAAGACCUUAAA